GGUCAUUCAAUUGGAAAUAAUAUGAUGUAAGGUUGCAGAACGCAUCAGUGGAUCAACUUGGCUAAUGGUAAUUCAUUUAUGUUUCUCUUGUUCUUUUUCUGUUUGAUUCUACCUCUUGAUCUUUCUGAGGGUCGUACUUGAUUUUGUGUUCAAAUCUCUAGAGUCUAGCUACUCAGAUUUCGUUUUGUAGCUUCUGUUUUUGGUUCUUCAUUGUAUCUAUGGGGCAAUCAGGUUGAUUCUGGAUGAUGUUUUUUCCCAUUUCAUUGUCUGAUUCAAUUAGUUCAUGUCUCUUGCUGUUGUUGGAUAUUCUCUCUCUAGAUUGUUGAAUUAGGCCAAAACACACGUUCUGCUAGAGAAUCGUAUCCAUUUUAAGCUGCAAUCACAUUGGCUACUUGGAAGUGAUAAAUAACUCAAACAUGGAUAAAUAUAAGGUUACUAUUUCUAAAUUUUGAAACAUUUUAAAAUUCAUAUCAUGAACAAUAUACAGUACUACAGCACAAAGGUCUAAAAGAAAAGCCUGACAUGAUUUCAGUGUCCAUCUUUAUACACAGAAAUUUAUGUUCAUUGGAAUCCAGAAUGUGGCAUCACUUGAAUCUUUCCUUCAAAAUUGGCAGAUAAGCUGUCCUACAAUUGGUCCCAAAAUGUAAUCACCCGGGAGGGCAGCUUGUGUUGCAAGUGCUAUCAAUUAUCAAUUAUUCAUUGGGACUAAAAAUCGAAUUGCUGUGCAUGGAUUAGUCCUCUCUUGACCAAGGAGUUGUCUCGUGACUUUCACUUGUAACUUUUUGAUGUAGUGAUAAACGCUUGAUCUAAUAUCAAUUUGAUUCAAGAUCACAAGUUCCGUAUAAUUGUUCAGGAAAAGAUUGUUGCAAGUUACAUAAUCGAGUCACGAUCGAAGAGUUUGAUUUUUACUAAUAAAUACUUGAUCCAAGAGGAUGGUUGGUUGAGAAUUCUUUCUUCCCCCACUUGUCAGAAACCUAAAGAUCUUGCCAAUGAGUUAACACAGUGGAAGCAAUUAUUAACCUUAAAAAAAACAGACAUAAAAACAAUCACAACCAGACAACUGUGAAUGUAUGGAACUUGACAAUUGUGCAUGAGAUACCACAUUAGCAGUAAUAGGAGUGGAUCCAAAAGAGCUGAUGCAAAGUUUAAAAAACAUUGCAUCAAUCAGAGCAUUCUCCAGCUAUAGAGCCAAUCAGAUUGCUUAGUAGAUCACACACAUGAUUAAAACCCUUUUUAAUAGUAAAUACAUAAAUAAAAGAAGAGGGAACAAGAAAGAGAGAGAGCCAGGGAAGAGGCAGUGCAUGAGCGUAGCCACAACAGAUAUCUCUCUCCUCUCAUUCUCACUUCACCAUUUCUGUCAAUAGCUACAUUCUUGCUCUGCCUUUUCCCAGCCUUUGUCCUGUCUCUUCUCUUUGACCCCUCAAACUUUGGAUAGACUAACUUACCUCUAUCCUCAUCAACAUCAUUGACCACCCUCUAAAAACUGGAUUUGCAUAUUACUUUUGCAUACAUUUCAUACAACCCAUCUCUAUAUAUAAUACUGGUAAUUAUAAUUAUAAAAAGUGUACCAGAGAGAGAGAGGAAUGAAUGGUUUGUAGUACAAGCAUGUACUAACAAAUUUCAGUCCAACGUUGGCCUGUACUACUUCAUGAUAUUGGUAGUACACUAAUGCUAAUUCCAUUUCAAAGUGAAAAAGAAACUUCAAGGAGACCUACCUUUCACCAUGUGUUAUCACCACCACUGUGCUUUUCUUCUGCUGGGGAGAUGCUAAGUUACCAUUCUAAAUUAUCUACUGUCAAGGUAAA
rnacentral:lncRNA from 1 species